rnacentral:SRP_RNA from 1 species
UGUUGGUCCUCCCGCGACGAUAGGUGGUGAACCCCGUCAGGCCGGAAGGGAGCAGCGGUAACUACUGAUUCGGGUGCCGGGAUGUGGCUGGCGCAG